rnacentral:rRNA from 1 species
CAACGUGGGAAUCUGCCUUGAAGUGGGGAAUAACUGCUCGAAAGAGUAGCUAAUACCGCAUACGCUUGGAAACAAGUAAAGCUCUCGCAAGGGGGUGCUUCAAGAGGAGCCUGCGACUGAUUAGCUAGUUGGUGGGGUAAAGGCUCACCAAGGCUGUGAUCAGUAGCUGGUCUGAGAGGAUGGUCAGCCACACUGGGACUGCGACACGGCCCAG